AGUGGUUGUAAACUUGAUUGGCAUUGGCUGCGCCCACUGACCCCAGCGCCGAGUCCACUGAAGAUUUAAGGUGGAUCCGAGAAGCCGCAGCUUCGGGCGGAGUCUUAGGCUUUAGCUAGUUUUGGAGGAAAAAAAAAAAAAAAAAGCCCCGAACCGUGGGCCCGCUGCGUUUUUACGAAUCCCUCGCUGCAACAGCCUCGGCGCCCGCCCCGCCCGCCGCUCGCCGGCUCCGCCCACCUCCCGCUUCUUUCCCAUUGGCCCGCGAGAGCAGUUUGAAUUUUUUUUUUUUUUUUUUUGGAUGCUUGUUUUCUUGUUAAAAAAUACCGUGUCCCAGAUCAAGUGACGAAACCUACUUCCGCGGCCGGAGGUGGGGUGUUGUAGCUGGUGUUUUGGAGGCUGGAGGGAGGAAGGUGGGCGGAGCUUCUGUUUCUAAAAUUUUCCCUAAGGAGCGGUUGAUUGUGUACUGGCGGGUGGAGGAGACUGGGGCCGCAGAAAAACAAACUGGAGAAGCCGAGCCCAGUGUAGUAUAAAACGUUAAUGGAUGUCCAGGGCGCAUCGUUUCACCGGCUGCUGGCCAGAGGUACUAGGAGGCGCUGGCAGGAGCACUGGCGAGGAUGCACCUUUCCCCUGCCUUGGAAAGUCCUGAUGAAAAUUCUGAGAAGUCGUCCCGUCGAUGGGGAAAAGGAGCCUGGGACCCCUUCCUUGAGGUCAAAUAAAGCAGUUUAAAAAAGGCUCCAAUUUAGGUCCUGCUGACUCUCAGCCUGGCUUUAGAGGCUGUCCUGUUAUUCCUGUAAAUAAUCUCAACAAGAACAAGGCCAACUGGCUCAGCGUGACACGCGAUCCCAAAUCAUUCUCUUGCACUUUCUGCCAGAUUGGAAGACAGUCUCAUGAUUAAAUAUUUCUGCCAGCGAUAUCUUGCCGUCUACGGAAAAAUGAUAUUCCCAGAUCUUUAAUAAAUGUAUCAUUCGACGCGAAAA